rnacentral:misc_RNA from 1 species
GAUGAAGAACGUAGCGAAAUGCGAUAAGUAAUGUGAAUUGCAGAAUUCAGUGAAUCAUCGAAUCUUUGAACGCACAUUGCGCCCCCUGGAAUUCCGGGGGGCAUGCCUGUUCGAGCGUCUCGGGGACGAACCCUCGCGCGGGUGUACGCGCGGUCGUGGCUGCGGUGGCGUGCCCGAGGCGGCGGCCACCGCGCUGGAAUCCAUGGGCGGACGCCUGCCGCGUGGCCGAGCGUGAUAUGACGCAUUGGCGCUCGCACGCGGCGAGGCUGCCAGCCCUGGCCCGUCUGUCGGGCGGGGGAGAGCAAGACACGUGAACUCCUCGAAUCAGGUAGGGAUACCCGCUGAACUUAAGCAUAUCAAUAAGCGGAGGA